rnacentral:tRNA from 1 species
GGGCGGUUAGCUCAGUUGGUUAGAGCGUUACAUUGACAUUGUAAAGGUCAGAGGUCCGACUCCUCUACCGCCCACCA